UAAUUAGGCUGCUGGAGCUUCCAGGGGAUGCUGCAGCUCAGCCUCCUCAUCUGGCCCAUUUAGACUUGGGAUCACAGACUCGCAGACAGGUUUGGGUUGGAAGGGACCUUAAAUGCCAUCUCAUUCUGAGCCCCUGUGCUGCCAGUGCCACGUCCCCACGUGCCACUCCUCAAUCUCUGCCCGGAGAUCCUGGCAGAGCCAGGGAGACAGCCCAGAAGUCGAGUCCCUGUGAGAGGCUGCUCUCCUGCACAGCCUCUGCAGAGAAACUUCACCUGAAGGCUUCUCCCGAGGAACCUCAGCAAAGCCUCAGCCAGAGCCAGGACCCACGUGCCUUGGGAGGUCUGGGGGGUGUAACUGCCACCCCCUCCCUGCCCCAAGGAUCAUGGAAUCAUUAAAGUGGCAAAAGACCUCCA